rnacentral:rRNA from 1 species
UACGUAGGGUGCGAGCGUUAAUCGGAGUUACUGGGCGUAAAGCGUGCGCAGGUGGUUUUGUAAGCCAGAUGUGAAAUCCCCGGGCUCAACCUGGGAAUGGCAUUUGGGACUGCAAGGCUAGAGUGUGGCAGAGGGGGGUGGAAUUCCGCGCGUAGCAGUGAAAUGCGUAGAGAUGCGGAGGAACACCGAUGGCGAAGGCAGCCCCCUGGGUUGACACUGACACUCAUGCACGAAAGCGUGGGGAGCAAACAGG